UACGUAGGGGGCAAGCGUUGUCCGGAAUCAUUGGGCGUAAAGAGCGCGUAGGCGGCCCGAUAAGUCCGCUGUGAAAGUCAAGGGCUUAACCCUUGAAUGCCGGUGGAAACUGUCGGGCUAGAGUCCGGAAGAGGCGAGUGGAAUUCCUGGUGUAGCGGUGGAAUGCGCAGAUAUCAGGAAGAACACCAAUAGCGAAGGCAGCUCGCUGGGACGGUACUGACGCUGAGGUGCGAAAGCGUGGGGAGCAAACAGG
rnacentral:rRNA from 1 species